AGAGUUUGAUCCUGGCUCAGGAUAAACGCUGGCGGCGUGCCUUAUGCAUGCAAGUCGAACGAUUCUUCGCAAGAAGGAUAGUGGCAGACGGGUGAGUAAUACGUAAGUGACCUAUCCCUGAGUGGGGAAUAACCCCGAGAAAUUGGGGCUAAUACCGCAUGACGCGCUAAGGGUAAUACUUUGGCGUCAAAGCCGCAAGGCGCUUGGGGUUGGGCUUGCGUCCUAUCAGGUAGUUGGUAGGGUAAUGGCCUACCAAGCCGAUGACGGGUAGCUGGUCUGAGAGGAUGUCCAGCCACACUGGGACUGAGAUACGGCCCAGACUCCUACGGGAGGCAGCAGCAAGGAAUUUUGCGCAAUGGGCGAAAGCCUGACGCAGCAACGCCGCGUGGGUGAAGAAGGCCUUCGGGUCGUAAAGCCCUUUUGUUAGGAAGAAGUUUG
rnacentral:rRNA from 1 species